AGCUGAAUGUUUUAAUGCUGUUUUCUGUAUUUGAUUAUUUUUGAAAAUAAAGUUAAAAAAUUUAAAUAAAAUCCAAGUAUAACCUGUUAUUUCUUAAUGUUUAAAAGUUAGGGUUUCCUACAAAGGGAAGGAGGAAGAUCUACCAAGCAAAUGAAAAGCAAAAAAUAAAAUAAAAGCAGGGGUAGCAAUCUAGUCUCUGAUAAAACCUACUUUAAACCAACAAAGAUCAAAAGAGACAAAGAAGGCCAUUACAUAAUGGUAAAGGGUUCAAUUUAACAAGAAGAGCUAACUAUCCUAAAUAUAUAUGCACCCAAUACAGGAGCACCCAGAUUCAUAAAGCAAGUCCUUAGAGACCUAAAAAGAGACUUAGACUCCCACACACUAAUAAUGGGAGACUUUAACACCCCACUGUCAAUGUUAGAUCAACAAGACAGAAGGUUAAAAAGGAUAUACAGGAAUUGAACUCAGCUCUGCACCAAGAAGACCUAAUAGACAUCUACAGAAGUCUCCACCCCAAACCAACAAAAUAUACAUUCUUCUCACUGCCACACUGCACUUAUUCCAAAAUUGACCAAAUAGUUGGAAGUAAAGCACUCCUCAGCAAAUGUAAAAGAACAGAAAUCACAACAAACUGUCUCUCAGACCACACUGCGAUCAAAUUAGAACUCAGGAUUAAGAAACUCACUCAAAACCGCUCAACUACAUGGAAACUGAACAACGUGCUCCUGAAUGACUACUGGGUAAAUAACAAAAUGAAGGCAGAAAUAAAGAUGUUCUUUGAAACAAAUGGAACAAAUACACAACAUACCAGAAUCUCUGGGACACAUUUAAAGCAGUGUGUAGAGGGAAAUUUAUAGCACUAAAUGCCCACAAGAAAAAGCAGGAAAGAUCUAAAAUUGACACCCUAACAUCACGAUUAAAAGAACUAGAGAAGCAAGAGCAAACAAAUUCAAAAGCUAGCAGAAGGCAAGAAAUAACUAAGAUCAGAGCAGAACUGAAGGAGACAGAGACACAAAAAAACCCUUCAAAAAAUCAAUGAACCCAAGAGCUGGUUUUUUUAAAAGAUCAACAAAAUUAACAGACUGCUAGCAAGACCAAUAAAGAAGAAUAGAGAGAAGAAUCAAAUAGAUACAAUAAAAAAAUGAUAAAAGGGAUGUCACCACCCAUCCCACGGAAAUAAAAGCUACUAUCAGAGAAUACUAUCAACAUCUCUACACAAAUAAACAAAUCUAGAAGAAAUGGAUAAAUUCCUGGACACAAACACCUUCCCAAGACAAAACCAGGAAGAAAUUGAAUCGCUGAAUAGACCAGUAACAGGCUCUGAAAUUGAGGCAAUAAUUAAUAGCCUUCCAACCAAAAAAAGUCCAGGACCAGACAGAUUCACAGCCAAAUUCUACCAGACGUACAAAGAGGAGCUGGUACCAUUCUUUCUGAAACUAUUCUAAUCAAUAGAAAAAGAGGGAAUCUUCCCUAACUCAUUUUGUAAGGCCAGCAUCAUCCUGAUCCCAAAGACUGGCAGAGACACAACAAUAAAAGAGAAUUUUAGACCAAUAUCCCUGAUGAACAUCAAUGCAAAAAUCCUCAAUAAAAUACUGGCAAACCAAAUCCAGCAGCACAUCAAAAAGCUUAUCCACCAUGAUCAAGUGGGCUUCAUCCCUGGGAUGCAAGGCUGGUUCAACAUACGUAAAUCAAUAAAUGUAAUCCAUCACAUAAACAGAACCAAAGACAAAAACCACGAUUAUCUCAAUAGAUGCAGAAAAGGCCUUCAACAAAAUUUAACAGGACUUCAUGCUAAAAACUCUCAAUAAACUAGGUAUUGAUGGGACAUAUCUCAAAACAAUAAGUGCUAUUUAUGACAAACCCACAGCCAGCAUCAUACUGAAUGGGCAAAACCUGGAAACAUUCCCUUUGAAAACUGGCACAAGACAGGGAUGCCCUCUCUCACCACUCCUAUUCAACGUAGUGUUGGAAGUUCUAGCAGGGCAAUCAUGCAAGAGAAAGAAAUAUAGGGCAUUCAAUUAGGAAAAGAGGAAGUCAAAUUGUCCCUGUUUGUAGAUGACAUGAUUGUAUAUUUAGAAAACCCUAUCGUCUCAGCCCAAACCUCCUAAGGCUUAUAAGCAACUUCAGGAAAGUCUCAGGAUACAAAAUCAAUGUGCAAAAAUCACAAGCAUUCUUAUACACCAAUAACAGACAAACAGAGAGCCAAAUUGUGAGUGAACUCCCAUUCACAAUUGCAAAUAAAAGAGGCUACAAACAAAUGGAAGAACAUUCCAUGCUCAUGGAUAGGAAGAAUCAAUAUUAUGAAAAUGGCCAUACUGUCCAAGGUAAUUUAUAGAUUCAAUAUCAUUCCCAUCAAGGUACCAAUGACUUUCUUUACAGAAUUGGAAAAAUCUAUUUGAAAGUUCAUAUAGAACCAAAAAAGAGCCCACAUUGCCAAGACAAUCCUAAGCCAAAAGAACAAAGCUGGAGGCAUCACGCUACCUGACUUCAAACUAUACUA
rnacentral:lncRNA from 10 species